rnacentral:rRNA from 1 species
UACGUAGGUGGCGAGCGUUGUCCGGAAUUACUGGGUGUAAAGGGAGCGUAGGCGGGAAGGUAAGUUGGAUGUGAAAUACCGCAGCUCAACUGCGGGGCUGCAUCCAAAACUAUCUUUCUUGAGUGAAGUAGAGGCAGGCGGAAUUCCUAGUGUAGCGGUGAAAUGCGUAGAUAUUAGGAGGAACACCAGUGGCGAAGGCGGCCUGCUGGGCUUUAACUGACGCUGAGGCUCGAAAGCGUGGGGAGCAAACAGGAUUAGAUACCCUGGUAGUCCACGCUGUAAACGAUGAUUACUAGGUGUGGGGGGUCUGACCCCUUCCGUGCCGGAGUUAACACAAUAAGUAAUCCACCUGGGGAGUACGGCCGCAAGGUUGAA